rnacentral:rRNA from 1 species
AUUGAACGCUGGCGGUAGGCCUAACACAUGCAAGUCGAACGGCAGCACAGGGGAGCUUGCUCCUUGGGUGGCGAGUGGCGGACGGGUGAGGAAUACAUCGGAAUCUACUCUGUCGUGGGGGAUAACGUAGGGAAACUUACGCUAAUACCGCAUACGACCUACGGGUGAAAGCAGGGGAUCUUCGGACCUUGCGCGAUUGAAUGAGCCGAUGUCGGAUUAGCUAGUUGGCGGGGUAAAGGCCCACCAAGGCGACGAUCCGUAGCUGGUCUGAGAGGAUGAUCAGCCACACUGGAACUGAGACACGGUCCAGACUCCUACGGGAGGCAGCAGUGGGGAAUAUUGGACAAUGGGCGCAAGCCUGAUCCAGCCAUACCGCGUGGGUGAAGAAGGCCUUCGGGUUGUAAAGCCCUUUUGUUGGGAAAGAAAUCCAGCUGGCUAAUACCCGGUUGGGAUGACGGUACCCAAAGAAUAAGCACCGGCUAACUUCGUGCCAGCAGCCGCCGUAA